rnacentral:rRNA from 1 species
AUUGAACGCUGGCGGCAUGCUUUACACAUGCAAGUCGAACGGUAACAGGCCGCAAGGUGCUGACGAGUGGCGAACGGGUGAGUAAUGCAUCGGAACGUGCCCAGUCGUGGGGGAUAACGCAGCGAAAGCUGUGCUAAUACCGCAUACGAUCUAUGGAUGAAAGCGGGGGACCGUAAGGCCUCGCGCGAUUGGCGCGGCCGAUGUCAGAUUAGGUAGUUGGUGGGGUAAAGGCUCACCAAGCCAACGAUCUGUAGCUGGUCUGAGAGGACGACCAGCCACACUGGGACCGGGACACGGCCCAGACUCCUACGGGAGGCAGCAGUGGGGAAUUUUGGACAAUGGGCGCAAGCCUGAUCCAGCAAUGCCGCGUGCAGGAAGAAGGCCUUCGGGUUGUAAACUGCUUUUGUACGGAACGAAAAGGUCUGGGUUAAUACCCUGGGCCGAUGACGGUACCGUAAGAAUAAGCACCGGCUAACUACGUGCCAGCCGCCGCCGUAA